GCGGUGGAGCAUGUGGUUUAAUUCGACGCAACGCGAAGAACCUUACCAGGGCUUGACAUCCCCUGACCGCGUAUGGAAGUACGUUUUCACCCUCGGGUGACGAGGGAGACAGGUGGUGCAUGGUUGUCGUCAGCUCGUGUCGUGAGAUGUUGGGUUAAGUCCCGCAACGAGCGCAACCCCUACGUUUAGUUGCUAACAGGUGAAGCUGAGCACUCUAGACGAACUGCCGUUGACAAAACGGAGGAGGUGGGGAUGACGUCAAAUCAUCGUGCCCCUUAUGUUCUGGGCUACACACGUGCUACAAUGGCCGGUACAGACGGAGGCGAAGCCGCGAGGCGGAGCAAAUCCGAAAAAGCCGGUCUCAGUUCGGAUUGCAGGCUGCAAUUCGCCUGCAUGAAGUCGGAAUCGCUAGUAAUCGCAGGUCAGCAUACUGCGGUGAAUACGUUCCCGGGCCUU
rnacentral:rRNA from 1 species